GUGGAGCCUUAAAAUCCCAUAAAUCUCCAUCAGCCCGAGUUCACACAUGUCUCCCCCAGCAUUUCUCCUCCUCCCCAGCCCCAUCCUUCCUUCUCGGCCCAGCAGAGAGCAGGUCCUCCGGCGCUGCAGCCCGGGCUGCGGGUGAUGCGGGAGGAGGGAGAGCAUCCCUCGGCCGCCUCUCCCGUGGCUCUCGCCCGGGUACCAUGUGCGGGUGAGCUCGGGAGGCCCGUUGCCAUAACGACUGCUGCUAAAAUGCCCCCCUGCGUGGGGAUGCAAUUGGUUGCGGACGGUCCCUCCUUCGGGGGGGAGCCCGGUGCUGGGGUGCCCUGGGGAGGCUGGAGGGGGGCUGGCGUUGCUGGCAGGCGAUGGGGGAAGGCCCCGGGAGCCCCGGUGGGAAAUGAGGCCGCGCUGCUGGCUGCGUGUCAUCUCUGCACGCUCCCGCCAGCCACGGCUGCUCCCACCAUCCCUCCCUCCCGCCCUGCGCCUGUCGCCUCUCGCUGUCGCCCUGCUCUCCCGGAGCGGGGUCCCUUCUCCCUGGCACUGCCUGGCUGGGAAAGGAGCCUGACUCAUCCCGGCCAGGCCCUGGCAGAUGCUGGAGGCAGCAGCCUCAUCUCAUUGCCCUGUGCCCGCGGAAGGAGGGCGGCACUGCUCCAGACUCAGCACCACGCUCCCGAGUGGUGAGGGGAUCCUGGGAAGGCAGAUCUGCCGCUCCCGCCAUGCCCCAUUUCUUGGAUUGGUUUGUGCCAGUGUACCUGAUGAUCUCCAUUCUCAUCCUGGUGGGCUUUGGAGCUUGCAUUUACUACUUCGAGCCAGGACUCCAGGAAGCCCAUAAGUGGCGAACGCAGAGGCCGAUCAUGGAACGAGACCUUCGGAAGACACUGAUGAUUCGGGACAACCUCGCCUUCGGGGUGCCCGAGGUCUGACACGCUGCCCAUCGAGUCCAGAAGAGCCUCUCCUCUUGGUAGGGAUGACAAUCCUGCCCUGCACAAGCAGGGCUGAUUGUCACUUUGCGCUUUUCUGAUCUAGGUCUCAUACUCACCUUUCUGACCCUUUGCUUCUUAGGCAAGGUUUGUGUGGCACUGCAGGCUCAGGGCUUCCCACGUGCUCACAGCCCUUCACCCAGCCAAGGACUUCUGCUCCUCCCCAUGGCCGAGACUGAUGAAUCACUCAAAUGAAAGGUCCCUUGUUAAUCACUUGAGUUUGAGCCGACUGGCAUCUUGACAUGACCUUCAGUAGGAAAAGUCUCUGCAGGGGUACUAGGCUUGCAAAGGGAGACAGAGCCUUUUACUCCUAUUCACUGGGUUAAAUCUAACCCAGCCUGUUUAAGUCCAGUGGGUAUUUUGGGGGAAAUAAAUGGGAUUUCAACCCAGAUCAUUGCUUCAGCUAAGCUCUUCACCCUUGGUGCUGGGAUGGUAAGCUUGCUGAAGCUCUGUGCAGAGGGGCCAAGGGCUCAGCGAGACCCAGAGACUGAAUGCCUUUAUCCCUGCUAAAGGUGCACUGCUUCUCUGUGUCUGUUUGGGAGAUGGAGAACAUCCAUCCACCCAUCCAUCCAUUCCAGAUGCACUACAUUCAAAUUUAAGAUCUUUACUAAAGAAGUUUGUCCAAGUCCCAUGUCAAGCUGAGAAUAUUCUGCAGCCCUCCAUGAAGGGGUGCUGCCACAGUUAGCACAUAAGCCUCUCCCGAUCCGCCUGACCUUCUGCUCCUCUGCUGCGGAGUGAGAUCGGAUAGUCUGGGAGGUAACUUGCACUUGUUCAGUCCUCUGCACUCCAGAGUCCUAUGGCAUGGAUGGGCUCUUCCUUAACUGUCAUCCCAACGAAAGCUGUGAAGCAUCCCUCGACUCCUUUUCCCUGUAUGUCUCUGAGAAGGGACACUGAGCCUGUUGGCGAAAUGGACCUGUUGCACCACCUCUGCUUUCUGGACUGUAUAAUGUGGGUCUGGCACAAAAUCCCAUGUUCAUAGACUACCUGCACUUUCUGCGCUGCCCUGGGGCUGAUCGGCUACCAAAGUGCUGUGUGAAGGUGUGAUGCUGGGGCUAAGAGGGACGUUCACAUCUUCUCCUUCCCUGCCAGCCCAGUGCAAUGCUCACUGUGUACAGGGAGAUUUGGGAGAGCUCUGAGCCUGUGGUGGGAGGUUGUGUCAAGAGCCUCUCCUCACCUCUCCUCCCACCCCAACACCCACUCUUCGGAUGCCGUAGGUGCAGCGGUGCUACUUGUGAGCGCGCUGGACACAGCGGGGUCCUGUGUGCCCCACUUCUGCAUGUCCCAGGGGUGUCAGCUGGUGCCACCACCCCAUGUCCACAUGUCUGCGCAUCCCAUGCCGUCACAUGGACCUGCCAAUAUCGGGGCGACCCGCAUCCCCAGCAUGCUCCCGGGGUGCCAGCUUUGUGCCGUAGUCCCUGAUGGCUCCUUUGGGCAGCAGGAGUCCCUUGGGCCAACUGCCCAAAUCUGCCACAGAUCCUGGAUGGGCUCGUGUCACCCAGCCUCUCCUGUGAACCUGUCAGCGGAAGUUUUCUCCUCCAUUCCCAAAGAAAGGAGGAGAGUGCACUGGGCUGGUUUGAGUGAGCAAUGCUCCAUUGGUAAUUCUCUGGGGGUGAAAGUUAAUUUUUAGCUCUAUUGGUUUUGGCUGAAAAAGGAAUAGGUCAGGACAUCCUGCAAAUAUCCUGGGUCUUUCUGGGACUUUCCAUCCACUGGAUUGCAAUCGUAUCACCAUUAUCUUCUACACCAAAACCAGGCACACUGGCAGGAGCUUUUUGGCUCUGUUUCAGUCAGAGGACAAGUUGAGAGUCCUUUCAUUCAGCUAAAACCCAGAAAUUGUGAUGCAAGUACCUUAACUGGGGAGUCUCACUCAACAGGGAAAUGCAGUGAGUGGGAUUAUUCCUGUGCCCAAAGUUACGCUCGCCCUGGCAAGCAAAGGCUCAAAGCGCAGGUGCAGCCUGAAACAGGUAAAUCCCACGUAUUUUUAUGCCUUGGUGACUUGGGGCUGCGAAAGGGAAAUGCCUUGGGGCUGGGCUGCAUGGUCUGACAUGCCACCCUCAGCUGCAUGGCUUACGUCCUCUGCCCUCUGGCACAACACAGCCAUAUCUUCAAGCCCCAGCUUGGAAACCUGCUUCCUCACCUCAACUCCCUCGUAGCUGGGACUGCACUGCAAACGGACCACAGCUGAGCCAUGGGGUAGCAAUAAAACCCUCUGUACUGGAGCUGAGGGUCUUGCAGCAGUCAGGGACAGGUUAAACCGUCCCCCUGGGAAGGGGAGCCUGCUCUCCGCAGCCUGCACCAGCGCGGGCUGCUCUGCAAUCGCACCUCCUCCAAACCCACUUUCGGCUGCUGAGUCAAAAGAGAAGAGGGAAAACCACUAGCCUGGUAAAAACGAAAGGCUGGGUCUGCCACCACCACUCUCGGCCAGCUGGCAUCCGUGGUGUGAUGGAGCUCCCCACAGGGGUCCCCCAUCCUCUCCUCUGUGUCCUCCUCUGCACGCUCUCCUGCCUGUUUUCACCUCCGCUCUGCCUGUGACUUGCCGCAGAAACCAAGCAAAAGGAAGAUGACAAACAGGUCAGGGCUGGACUAGAGAAGAACUAGUUAUUCAUCUCCUCCGGCUUAGGUUUCAGACUGUUUAGUCCUGACACAAUCAGUAUUAAGCCAGGUAUUUUCCACGGGUAUGAAGGACUUUAUUGCCAACGGUGUCAAAGCCCUCCCCAGUGGAAUAAAACUGUGUGACAAACA